GGACAUAGCUCAGUUGGCAGAGUGCUUGCCUUGCAUGCACAAGGCCCUGGGUUCAAUGCCCAGCAUGACCA
rnacentral:tRNA from 1 species